rnacentral:lncRNA from 1 species
UUUCAGUAGAUAUUUUUAUAAAUAAAUAAAUAAAAAAGGAAAAAGAAGGUACCCACUAUUUGACAGUGCAGUUACCUCACCUCUAUUGAAUCGCGUACAAAUUGCUAGGUCAAGGCGGAGCUUCUCUCUCUCUCUCUCUCUCUGUCUGCUUGAGCAAAGGUACCACUCUCUUCGUUUCUCUAAAUUCAUGAUUGAUUUCUGAUUUUGGAAUUGCGCUCUACUAUGUACCGAUCUGCCUGUUAUUAGAAUUCUGUGUAAUGUGUUUGGUUUCUGCUGUUUUCUUUGUAAUUUGCUUUGAUUGUCCUUUUCAUUUCAUAUAUCGUACUCAAAUUUUAGAUCUGAUGGACGGGGAUGCAAAUCGUGCUGUUUCUUUUUUUUUUUUUUUUUCAUGAUUCAGUUUGUUCAUACCUUCUUUCUUUAUACUUCUCCAUAAAGACGUUUUGUUUGUUCAUUUUUUCGGUGAUGAUUUUGUUAGUUUCAUUAAGCCUCUGAUGCAUAUCUUGUGAUGCUACUGAUAGUAAUUCAUGUGUUGUUGAUUAGACCAAAACAUGAUUUCAUGAAGUUGUCUUAUGUUUGAAUUUAUUCAAUUAAUUCCGAUUAUUCAGCAUUAGUUUUAUACUGCUGCGAAAACUAAAUGAUGAUAGUACUUCUAUCAUUUUGCUAAAUGGAUGUCAGUUUGACAGGUUUUCUUUUUACGGAAAGACCACUUCCAUGCGUUAAAUUAUGAGAGAUUUCUAGUUUUGCAUCUAUCUAUUGAUUCUUGUGAUAUCUUACAUAUCAUGUUCCAGAUCUUACCUUUUGCGUUGACGAUAUGAAAUCAUUAUGACAAAUUUUUUGCUUUUGUUUUGGAUGAUUCUCAUUUAUCACAGAAUGUAGUCUUUCUUUUGUUUUUGUAUAUUCUUAGCUGUUUGCAUAAUUGUGGCAUUUUCAAUUCAUUAUUUGAAAAUCUUUAAGUAAUCCAUCACAUUUGUUUGCAUGACUAUGAGGUAUUAUAAACCAUACUCUUUUUUUCUGGACAAUCUUUGAGUUUGUUUGUUUUACAUAAUAAUGAUCUUUGGAAGCUGAUCUCUCUGUGUGCACAUGGUAAAAUAUCUUUGCUGUGGAUAUUUCUUUUUGCUUCACUUAAGAUGGAAUUGAAAUCUGACUGAAGUCUUAGAUCUUAGGUAACCUCUUUAAACCCAAAUCGAUCAUACUCCAAAUUUUAUAUGCUAAUGAUAAACGGGUAUUUUCUUUCUAUUAUUCUCUAUGCACUGAUGUUUCAGUUAUCACUUUUACAGUAUUUAUAAAAUAAUGUCGAUAUUUUACGCAGGCACUACUGUAUUGCUUGCUUUUUCAUUAUGGCAUUUCACAAAGCUAUUUAAUUUUGUGUUCUGAUGGGUAAAUUUUUCAUUUGAAAGGAAGCAAUGUCUAUGGAUCGGCCACACUACCCCACCACCGCUCAGAAAGUGGCUGGGCAGCUUUUCAGAUCAACCCCCACUCAGCUAUUUUGGAGUCCUUUGAAGGUGGUCAGUCUCGACCAUCUUUAUAUCAAUCACAAUUCAAAUAUGGGAACUACACUAACGCUGC